UACGUAGGUGGCAAGCGUUGUCCGGAAUUAUUGGGCGUAAAGCGCGCGCAGGCGGCCUCUUAAGUCUGAUGUGAAAGCCCCCCGGCUCAACCGGGGGAGGGCCAUUGGAAAACUGGGAGGCUUGAGUAUAGGAGAGAAGAGUGGAAUUCCACGUGUAGCGGUGAAAUGCGUAGAGAUGUGGAGGAACACCAGUGGCGAAGGCGACUCUUUGGCCUAUAACUGACGCUGAGGCGACGAAAGCGUGGGGAGCAAACAGG
rnacentral:rRNA from 1 species